ensembl:lncRNA novel transcript
GGGGAAGUUUUCGCAAUGGCCGCCGGAACGGUCGCCGGCCGAUGCUCUCUGCGACGGAAAGAAAGCCGCCGGACCCACUUCCGGUGCGUUUUACAAUGAACUCCGGGCACUCGAGUCGCUCCCCGGAAACUAUAGUUCUGCUUCCACCGUUGUCCUACUUUGGAUAGCAUCAAGACAAAAAUCUCAGUCUUCGAGGAACUCACAGUGUAGCAGAAAAGACAAAGGAGGUAAACAGGAGGAGGCCAGGCUUGAAGAAUUGUAUAUGCCCAAAAGGAUAUGGGGACUUGACUAUGAUCCAGCGUCAACAGCACAGUCUGGGACCGAAGGGGAGAUUUACCAUCAAACAGACAUGAAUAAUUCAUCUUGAUGUAAUCAUGCAAGACUCCUAAGAAGAUGUUAGGAGACCCUGUCAUCAUUCUUUUGGCCUCUAGUGUCCUUUAUCUUCAUGUUUGCUGGCUUCCUUUUACUACUAUGGAAAUACAACAUAUGCAAAAGUAGUGUUUUCACUGUUUAAAAACAUCGUCAGCAGCAUCAUCAUCAUUAACUGCACCAGGAAGCCAUGACUCCUUUCUGGACAAGGUGCACUUGCCUGUCAUCCUUCCAUCUCUUUCUUCCUCCUUGAAGUUCACAAUACCCAGUCCAGGAGCAUUGCAGAGAAUGCUAGGUGUGUCUGCAGACUUGACUUUAAAAGAAAACAAGUUCCUUCAAGUGAGUUCAUCAUGAUGGGAAUGAUAAUUUGUUUGAGAGAAUGUGUGUUCUUUGGCAAAGGAACUCCUGUUAUACCAUGACAGUAAUAAUAGCAGUAAUAAAAUCACCAAUAAUAAA